UGCAGCUCACAAACAGGGGGACAACCGUGAGAAAAACCAGCAGCCCUUUCCUUUGUCCAAGCCACCACCAAAGAACAACGGCACCCCCUAUGUGUGGAACUCGAAAUUGCCGUGGAUAUAUAGAAACCUAUGGAGCUUGAUCCUUCGUGUGAGGAAAUAAAGGAUCUGAUUUCCAAUAUAGAAAUAUACUAAGUGAAGUUGAAGAUUGUUGUGAAGAUACACCGUCUGAUCUAGCAAUUGUGAGCGGCGAUCAUCGAGCUUGUUGCUUAUCGUCGAACUUGUUGGUUCUGCUGGCCGAAAACUUUUAGUUGUUGCCGAGACAUUUCAACUUGCCAUUUUAAAAUUGUAAAGCCUCGUUGCAAUUUCUAAUUAUUAUUGAAGAGAUUUUUUCAAUAAAAGGUUAGUUUCUUAGUCUUUUCUUUUUGGAUAUUAGUUCAUAUAACGUUUCUUUGUAUUGUCUUUUCCAACUGUUCUUCUUCGCC
rnacentral:lncRNA from 1 species